ensembl:lncRNA
AGCAUCCAUACCCACUGAAAAUAUAGUGACCUACGUAGGGAACAAGGGCAGAUAUGGGAAAGGAGUGCGCAUUAGAGGUUUCACAGAGGGAAUGUGGGAGAUAGAGAACACUCCUAGAGUAUGCAGCAAACAGAAGGUGGGUGUUACCCCAGCUAAAAGAGAGCAAGCAGAGAAAAAGCCAGACCAGUCCAAGACAUCUGCACCGGUCAAAGCCCCAAUAAAGGCCCCUAAAACACAAGCGAAGACUAUCAAGACAGUGUCAGUGACGGCCCCGGGAAACAAGGCGUUGCCGGGAAACAAGGCGUUGCCGGGAAACAGAAAAACAUCUGCCGACGGCCAACAGAGGACCGAUACGCCGGCCAACACAAGAGCUGAGAAAAGGAAAAAGAUCGGAAUGUAUUCUUCCCAGGACGAGUCUGUCCAAGGGCAGAAGACAGCCCCGGCCAGUUCAGCUGUAAUCCCACCAGCCAGCAAGAAGACGAGAUUGACGGAGGAGAAAAGCUCGUCCACUCCAAAGAGCGAGAAGACCACAGAAGAGAGAAAGAAACAGGACGAGAGAAGAGGGAGGAAGAGGAAAAAGGAUGAUGAGGGAGAGAAGAUGAAGGAAGUUGGUGUUGAAGAGGGAAAGAUUGAAGUCACGUCUGCGACGUCUGGCGGCCAGGAGAGAGAGUGUCCUGAAGUCUCUACAAGGACUUCUCACUAGAGGGAAGGGCCUGAGAAGACACAGCCUUAAACCUACACGGACACAGAAAAAUGGAGCUGAAGAGAAGAAGAGUAGAAAGACAGGCGGGCAGAAAAAGGACAGAAAAACAGCGAGUAAGACAGCAGGCGGCAAGGCAGCAGGCGGCAAGGCAACGGACAGGAAGACAACAGAUGAGAAGGUGGAAAGUACGAAAACGGAAGUAAAAAAAUUGGAAGGCAAAAAAACUGAAUGUAAGAAACCAGAACAAAAGAUAGAGAAGAAAGUGGAGAGCAAGAAAUCAGCGGAGGCUAAGAAGUCCGACUCGACCCGGGCGGAGGCUAAGAAGUCCGACUCGACCCGGGCGGAGGCUAAGAAGUCCGACUC